AUUGAACGCUGGCGGCAGGCCUAACACAUGCAAGUCGAGCGGAUGAAGGGAGCUUGCUCCUGGAUUCAGCGGCGGACGGGUGAGUAAUGCCUAGGAAUCUGCCUGGUAGUGGGGGAUAACGACCGGAAACGGGCGCUAAUACCGCAUACGUCCUGAGGGAGAAAGUGGGGGAUCUUCGGACCACACGCUAUCAGAUGAGCCUAGGUCGGAUUAGCUAGUUGGUGGGGUAAAGGCCUACCAAGGCGACGAUCCGUAACUGGUCUGAGAGGAUGAUCAGUCACACUGGAACUGAGACACGGUCCAGACUCCUACGGGAGGCAGCAGUGGGGAAUAUUGGACAAUGGGCGAAAGCCUGAUCCAGCCAUGCCGCGUGUGUGAAGAAGGUCUUCGGAUUGUAAAGCACUUUAAGUUGGGAGGAAGGGCAGUAAGUUAAUACCUUGCUGUUUUGACGUUACCAACAGAAUAAGCACCGGCUAACUUCGUG
rnacentral:rRNA from 1 species